rnacentral:lncRNA from 1 species
AAGAGUCCACAGCUACAACGUGAAGAGGUCAGUCAGAAAGCAAAUAAAUGAUUACAAUCAUAAUAUUUUACACGUGGAUUCAUUCAAAUUCCAGAUCUUCCUUAUAAAAAGUAAGACAUGAUUGAGUAUUGGAUUUUUUAUAUUGCAUUGUGCAAAUUCAGUUACCAAACAAUCACACAAACCAAUUUCUCAACCAAGUCUAAAUUCUUCUACUUCCACGUUGAAAUAAUGGGGAAGAAAAAAACACAAGAACAGAAGCUUACAAGUACAAGCAACUAGAAAAGUCUUUUGGACAUUAUCAUCGUUGUCCAAGAGCAUCUUGGACAAAACUUCAUGUUCUAUUAGGAUGUUCUUCUAACAUGUCCAGGAUAUUCUACAAUCAUACGUUCUCUUGCUUUUACAUUUCAGUUCAGAAGGAGAUAGGAUUUAAAAUCAGUGAAAAUAUCCAAGAACCUGGCUUCCCACAUUCUGCCUCAUAGCCUCUUCAUGUCCAAAACACCAUUUGGAGUUGUGAUCACAAUCUAGCCCCACUGCAUGAGCAAAUACAAUUUUCUGCAUUAAAAUAAGCAAAUAUUUGCAGCGACUCAAUUAUAUGAAAUUUGUGCAACAAUGAACAUAUGCAGUAAUACUGUUCAACAAUCAAAGCUUUGAUUCCUAAUCCUCAUAUAGAAAAGAAAGAAAUACAACUUAAUCAAGAAAUAUAGUACUCAGUAUAGCAACCUGUGCAAAACUCACAGGUAUCAACAAGUUUUUCUUCUCUUUCAACUGAUUAAGAGCUAUAAACCUGUUCUAUUAGUAGUAAAAGGGCUUGUGUUUUUG